rnacentral:rRNA from 1 species
UGGGGAAUAUUGCACAAUGGGCGCAAGCCUGAUGCAGCCAUGCCGCGUGUAUGAAGAAGGCCUUCGGGUUGUAAAGUACUUUCAGCGGGGAGGAAGGUGUUGUGGUUAAUAACCACAGCAAUUGACGUUACCCGCAGAAGAAGCACCGGCUAACUCCGUGCCAGCAGCCGCGGUAAUACGGAGGGUGCAAGCGUUAAUCGGAAUUACUGGGCGUAAAGCGCACGCAGGCGGUCUGUCAAGUCGGAUGUGAAAUCCCCGGGCUCAACCUGGGAACUGCAUCCGAAACUGGCAGGCUUGAGUCUUGUAGAGGGGGGUAGAAUUCCAGGUGUAGCGGUGAAAUGCGUAGAGAUCUGGAGGAAUACCGGUGGCGAAGGCGG